UCCGUUCCGCAUACCGGAAAAACGUCGGAGUGUUGUUCCUUUUCCUUUUCUGCAAACUCUCUCUCUUGGACUCCCGCAUAGAGCUCUGGCCGCAGGCACACAGCUGCAGCAUGAGCGAGGGUCCACGAAAACGCGUGGCGGGAGCUCAGCUGUCCCGCGACGACGACGGGGAGGGGCGCGCCGAUGAUGAAUUUGUGACAACCCCGCAGGUCGCCGAUGAGUCGGAGAUGGCGAACCGCCGUGUCGUCCGAGUGCGCCGCCCUGAUGGGGCUACAUCGUCAGCGAAUGCCUUUGCACGAGGUCCUUCCCUGUUCAAGGACGUGUCGCUCGGAAGUGAUAAGGAGCCGCCAGUGUUCAAGAUGCCGUUUGGCGCCGGUGAUGCGAGCAAGGGCACGGCGGCUGCGUUUUCGUUUGCAGCGCCAGCGUCAUCCUCGAGCAAGUCGUCGUCAUCCUUUGGGCUUCCCCCUACCACUAAGCCUAGUGGAUUCAGUUUCGGCGGCAGCACUGCAAGCCCUGCAACGACGGGGACUUCAACGACGCCCAAAACCCCCUUCUCUUUCGGCGGAUUGCCAACCGACGGCAGCAGCGCAACAACCGGAACCACUAGCAGCUUUUCUUUGGGUACCAAUUCUGCUCCUUCAGUAACAGCGAGCACGCCGGCGGGUGGCUUUAGUUUCGGCUUUGCCCCCGCCAAGUCUUCGGCCACCGCCCCGACCGAUGAGGCCCCAGCGAAGGAACCAGCGCCGGCGACGGCGACGGCGCUGCCGAAGGCCCUUGUCUUUGGUGCCGGCUCGUUUAACUUUGGCUCGGCGGUGAACAGCUUCGUUGAGGCUCGCAAGAAGAUGCAGGAGGAGAAGGGCCCAGAAUCGGAGGCCGACGGCGAGGGCGAGGACAAGGGCGGUGACGCACCGAAGGACGACGCUGACGGCACCGGCUUUGGUAGCGAAGUCGUCGAGCAGUCGGCGCGCGACGUUUUGGCCACGGCGCCAUCAAAGCUCUACUUGUUCGAGAAGGGCGAGGGCGACACGCCGGGCCGCUGGGCGGAGCGGGGUGCCGGGGAGGCGAAGCUCAUUGCCGAGAAGAAAGCGGAGGCUGGGGUUCAUGUUCACCGACUUCUGGUGCGCGGCGGCUACGCCCUUAACGCGACCGUCGGCAAGAAUCUCUUCACGCUUUCCAAGACAGAGGCGAAGCAUCUUAUUUUAGCUGUCGCCACCAGCGAAGGCCCACACACGUACCUUCUCAAGUUCACCGGCCCCAACGCCGAGGUGAAUACGACGAAAUUCUCGGAGGCAAUCAAGAAGAUUAUGCAGGAGGCGGAGAAGGCCGCGUGAGAUGUCGCUGCUGCGGACUGGCUUCUGCUCUCUUCCUCUUACGCGCUGUUCGCCGCGCUCGUUACUGAGUGCCGUUGUCGCGUGCACUGCGUUUGUGUCGGUGGAGUCGUAAAGCGACGCACAGUGGCAUGUGGUCGUGAGCUUGUCCUUGUGCUUAGCUGUCACUAACAAAGAAGCCUACUUCCCCUUUUUAGAAAACGAAAAAGAACACGACACUGAAUACCUUAGGCGUCCUGUUGCUGUCGCACGCGACUAGGAGUGCGCAGCGCGUCGCUUUUGCCAGAGAGUUACUUAAGCGUUUGCACUUGCACGGAU
rnacentral:misc_RNA from 1 species